rfam:Gossypium arboreum cultivar AKA8401 contig_27096_5, whole genome shotgun sequence.
AUUCCUUGAUGAGGGCAUUUUCUUAAUAAAUCUUUAAAUCUUUUCCAUGCCCUAUACAUAGAUUCAUCAUCCAUCUACUAAAAAGUAGUGAUCUUGUUCUGUAAGU